GACGAACGCUGGCGGCGUGCUUAACACAUGCAAGUCGAACGGUAAGGCCCUUCGGGGUACACGAGUGGCGAACGGGUGAGUAACACGUGGGUGAUCUGCCCUGCACUUCGGGAUAAGCCUGGGAAACUGGGUCUAAUACCGGAUAGGACCCUGGGAUGCAUGUCCUGGGGUGGAAAGCUUUUGCGGUGUGGGAUGGGCCCGCGGCCUAUCUGCUUGUUGAUGGGGUGAUGGCCUACCAAGGCGACGACGGGUAGCCGGCCUGAGAGGGUGACCGGCCACACUGGGACUGAGAUACGGCCCAGACACCUACGGGAGGCAGCAGUGGGGAAUAUUGCACAAUGGGCGCAAGCCUGAUGCAGCGACGCCGCGUGAGGGAUGACGGCCUUCGGGUUGUAAACCUCUUUCAGCACCGACGAAGCGCAAGUGACGGUAGGUGCAGAAGAAGGACCGGCCAACUACGUGCCAGCCGCCGCAGUAA
rnacentral:rRNA from 1 species